rnacentral:rRNA from 1 species
CCUACGGGAGGCAGCAGUGAGGAAUAUUGGUCAAUGGUCGGGAGACUGAACCAGCCAAGCCGCGUGAGGGAUGAAGGUACAGAGUAUCGUAAACCUCUUUUGUCAGGGAACAAAGGCGGGGACGUGUCCCCGGAUGAGUGUACCUGAAGAAAAAGCAUCGGCUAACUCCGUGCCAGCAGCCGCGGUAAUACGGAGGAUGCGAGCGUUAUCCGGAUUUAUUGGGGUAAAAGGGUGCGCAGGCGGUCUGUUAAGUCAGCGGUAAAAGCCCGGGGCUCAACCCCGGCCCGCCGUUGAAACUGGCAGUCUCGAGUUGGAGAGAAGUAUGCGGAAUGCGCGGUGUAGCGGUGAAAUGCAUAGAUAUCGCGCAGAACUCCGAUUGCGAAGGCGGCAUGCCGGCUCCACACUGACGCUGAGGCACGAAAGCGUGGGUAUCGAACAGGAUUAGAUACCCCUGUAGUC